GUGGCUUAGUUAGUUAGAGCGCCAAACAUGCGAUAUGGAGUCGUGGGUUCGAUUCCCAUC
rnacentral:tRNA from 1 species